UCUACUGCUGCUGAGUGCCGCGGCAGACGGGGUGCGUGGCCCCACCGCUUGGGACCGGCACGGAGCUCCCCUCGGUGUCCUGCUGACGGGCUGCCCACGGGAGGUCUCUUUCUCCAUUCUACAGCUGAUCAGAACAUCACAGUGAUAUUCUCUUCUGGGUCUGGAGUGGAAAUAAGGGGAAGUGGAAGAUUUCUGACCUGGACAGUUCUGCGCCCAGAGAAGUUUAUGAAUCAGACACAGGGUCUCUUUGGGGUAAUGAAUGGCAAUACAAAGUGUGGGUAUACCUUCAAGAAUAAAACCACCAUGUCAGUUCAUGCAAGGCCCCAGCAGUUGUUUGAGUUUGGAGCUAAUGACCCUGCUAAUCCUCUGGUGAAGAGACUGAUGUCCUGACAAUGAGAAGCCUUCAAGUGGGAAGUUCCACCAGACUAUCUCAUCAUAAUCACAACUUGCUGGUAAAGAACUGAGAGCCAGGUGAUACAACAUUCCCACAAAGCAUCCAUCAUUACAGUUCUAUUUUUUCUACCAGGCAUCUAAAUAGUUCACACUGUUUGAGGAAGCUUUGUUCAAUUGUAGGUUCACACUUCCAUAAACACUCUUAUUGGAGGGAAUUGUCCUUAUACCAGGAAACCUUUGCAUAAAAUAUAUUUCUUUCCAUUUCUUCCACUACUAAACCACUGUGUAGAACCUGUAUCUUUAUUUUCUAUGCUUCAUCAGUCUUACCUGGACUUAAAAAAGAAAAUAAAUCAGGAAGUAUUGUCUUUCAGUUAGCCUAAAAACCUUUUUCUUUCCAUGAGUUGCCACUAAAAUGCCAUUUGAAUUAUUGUCAUGGAGAUUUGCUAAUCAAAAUCCAAAAUACUUUAACCAGAUAUGUCUCUUUUACUAGUGAUCUCUAGUGGCUCACUAAAUCAUCCAAACAACAGAAGAAAGAACGGACCUAACUACCUCAUCUGCAAUGAGGGCUAUGAACUCACUGAGUCAAAUGAAAGAAUCUGCCAAGUGACAGGGGCAUGGUCUGCAGACACACUGAGCUGCACCCUGGGAACAGGUCUGGUUCCUCUUCAAUGUUAUGAACUGGCAUAAAAAAUAAUUACCACAAACAAGGUAGUCUGGAUAUACGAUGAUGGCCCUUGACAAAAGUAACUCUUGAGAAGACAUUGGACAUGAGAUUCCUGGGUUUCUAGAAAGACUAAUAUUCAAAUCUAAAUAACAGGUGGGGUUUAGUGUUGGUUUCUGUUUUGUUGGGUUUUUGUAAUUUCAUGUAUCUACACUUCCUAAGGGUUUAGGGCUACAUGCUUCAUUUUCUCUAGGGCUGGCUGAAAGGAACUGGUAGGCUUCUUGUGUGGACAACUUAACAUUUCAAACUAAGUCUUAGAAAAACAAGAAAGCAUAGUAUCUAGCUAAAGAUUAUUCCAUAACACAAAAAUACAAAGACUAGAAAAAUAAUCCUUAUUUACAGCAUUAUCUUCAUGUAACUUUCUCAUGUAAAUGCAAUGUUCUUUUAGCACCUUCAUACAUAUA